GAUGAACGCUGGCGGCGUGCCUAAUACAUGCAAGUCGAGCGAACAGAUGAGGAGCUUGCUCCUCUGACGUUAGCGGCGGACGGGUGAGUAACACGUGGAUAACCUACCUAUAAGACUGGGAUAACUUCGGGAAACCGGAGCUAAUACCGGAUAACAUAUUGAACCGCAUGGUUCAAUAGUGAAAGACGGCUUUGCUGUCACUUAUAGAUGGAUCCGCGCCGCAUUAGCUAGUUGGUAAGGUAACGGCUUACCAAGGCAACGAUGCGUAGCCGACCUGAGAGGGUGAUCGGCCACACUGGAACUGAGACACGGUCCAGACUCCUACGGGAGGCAGCAGUAGGGAAUCUUCCGCAAUGGGCGAAAGCCUGACGGAGCAACGCCGCGUGAGUGAUGAAGGUCUUCGGAUCGUAAAACUCUGUUAUUAGGGAAGAACAAAUGUGUAAGUAACUAUGCACGUCUUGACGGUACCUAAUCAGAAAGCCACGGCUAACUACGUG
rnacentral:rRNA from 1 species